rnacentral:rRNA from 1 species
UACGGGAGGCAGCAGUGGGGAAUAUUGGACAAUGGGCGAAAGCCUGAUCCAGCCAUGCCGCAUGAGUGAAGAAGGCCUUCGGGUUGUAAAGCUCUUUUAGUGAGAAAGAUAAUGACGGUACUCACAGAAGAAGUCCUGGCUAACUCCGUGCCAGCAGCCGCGGUAAUACGGAGAGGGCUAGCGUUAUUCGGAAUUACUGGGCGUAAAGAGCACGUAGGUGGUUUUUUAAAGUCAGAUGUGAAAUCCCUGGGCUUAACCUGGAACUGCAUUUUGAAACUGAAGUACUAGAGUAUCGUAGAGGGAGGUAGAAUUCUAGGUGUAGCGGUGAAAUGCGUAGAUAUCUGGAGGAAUACCUGUGGCGAAAGCGGCCUCCUAAACGAAUACUGACACUGAGGGUGCGAAAGCGUGGGGAGCAAACAGGGAUUAGAUACC